rnacentral:lncRNA from 1 species
UCACCUUCAUCAUGAAUGGCGAUAGUAGAAGCAAAAAAAGAUUAAUGGACUUUUGGUGAGGACUUUAUUCAACGGCAACUCUUCGAUUUUUGAGGUUUGAUUUUUUUGAACUCGACUCUCUACCUCCUAUUCCAGUUUCUCGACAACCCUAAAUUUUGAACUAUUGUUGCAGAUGCAACCGCUUCAUUGUGGAGAGAUUCAAAUCGAGUAGUAGCAAGGAGAUUCAAUUUCGGCCCUUGUUUUGCUGUAUCAGGUAGGUUUUACUGUAGCGAUGAUUCCCAUUUUCAGAUUGAGCUAGGUCGAAUUUUGAUGAGUUUCUCCGUAGGUUGAAUUUUUUUUGCACUUAUUUUGUCAUUUUGCUCUUUCCGAUUAGGUUUUAAUGUUAUGUUGACCGAACUAGUUCUGUUUUGGUGUUUUAUUUAUUUAUUGGUGUUUUCUUUGUUUAUUGGGUUUGCUAUAGAGCAGAUUUGGAUCCCAGCUGGCUGUAUUUUGCAGUGAGUUGAACUAAUUCGGGUCGGAUAUUGUUCUUUAUCAUGCACAUGUUAUUGCAUGUUAAAUCAUUUUUUCGACCUAAUCAUGGGUUAACUAGCGUAGAUUUUUGACUGAUUUCUUUGAUUCGUGAUUAUACUUAAUGUUUGGAUGAACUUGCAAUGGAGGGUUUAGUUUUGUCGAGCAUCUUUGGGUGAUUCAGUUCAGGAAGGAUGUGAUGCAGUUUAUCAUAAGGAAUUUUGAGUCAGAGACGCUCACACUAAAGAUCGCUGAAAGGAAGAAGGUAGUGUUGACUGAGGAUGAUAUGACCUUGGUCGUGGUUGGGUAGCGGUUUCUGACUUCCUACAAAAUUCCUUGACAAACCUCUAAUUUCGGGUAAGCGAGUUGAAGUUGCCUUGCAGCAGUAGAUCGAAUAUGAAGUUGUCUGAUGUCAAAGCCAUGUUAGGUGUUGAAGAUGAUAACAAACGUUGGUUUCAGCUGUUCGUUUGGUUAGUUGUUGGUUGUAUUUUUGUGCCACAAGCUAGUUUAAUCAUGAAUGCAAAUUACCUUGGUAUUUGUUUCUGUAAAGAUGUACCCAUUUUUAAGGAUUUCAACUGGUGUGAACACCUAUUGGAAAUCAUCUCUACAGUAGGCAUCGGUUCGGAAGGAUACAUAGAGGUGGACCUCAACAUGUUAAUGGUACGUGCCUACUUUACUACAACACUAAAAUCUCUGCAAUAUACGUUCGUUACCAAUAGUAUGCUUACUUUACGAACAUAAUCUUAGUUAGGAUCAUAUGCUCAAAUAUAUGUUUGUGUUCUAAGAUUUUUAUGCUGGAUUGUGUUGGAGUGGGUGUUGGAGAUCGUGUUCCACGACAAAGGCCAACUGUUCGAUACUGAACCAAUAUUGUACUAAAGCGUCGAUUGAAUGAGUUUGAUGGAAUCAAUGGUUUCCAAAAUGGGUUUAUUAUCGAUUGGGAUCCAAAUACUGAUGAUGGAGUUUGGUUUUUCAGUAGAGAGCUGAGUAUUGGAGAAGUGUCACGAAAAGAACGGGUAUUACUACGAGGUAAUAAAUAUGUUCCCUCGUCUGUCGGUGCAAGGGUACGUCUCUCACUCACACCAACAAUGGGAGUGAAGACAGUCCAACAUUCAACUGCUGGAGUAAGGGAAGCAGCACCAAUAGUGAAGUCAACAAACUUCAAGGGAAGGAGCACGAUAAGUGAAUCAACAAGUAAAGGAUGCAAUGGAAACGGUUCUAUUAUUUCUGGUUUGCCAUUUAUAAGGCCGACAAUUGAGCAUCUUAGUGCUGAGGAGGUGCGUCUUGUUAGUUUUGAUUGAUACAUUUGUAUUGAUUACAAUGUCACUAUAUUGAAACUUUGUACUAGUUUUACAGGUUGAGGAAAGGUCUAUGUGGUUUGAGAACUACAUACAUUCUAUGAAUCUCCAUAUAAAUGUAUUGCAAUGUUUGAAGGAACAAUGUGACGACCAAGCCCAAACUGCUCGUCAAGUGCAUGGAACACAUGAUUUUUUCCUAAGUUAAGCAAGAGUUAGGAGUGAGUGGUUCAAUGAAGGAGGAAGAAGUGAAAGUGACUGGUGCAAGAAAGGAGGAAGAAGUAAAUCUGACUAAUCCAAAGAAGAACUUGAAGGAGGUUGUGUCAGAUGUAGGGAAAGUGAUGGUCACUUAUAACCCAAGUGAAAAGGUCUUUGGGGACUUUAGUAGCAUUGCUGACAUUAGCCUGAGUGCGAUUGAGUUUGCACCGAGUGAUGAUCCUUUGAACAAAGGUUACAUAGAUCAAGGACAAAAAGCUAGUGAUCUGGUAAUUAUUUAUUUCCUUUGUUACCUUGUUCGUUAAACUAGAGGUGACGUCUGUUUUAUCGUAGUGCACUGUAGUCUUCUAUACGGACACAAUCAGAGAUAUCUACCACAAAGGAAUCAAACGAGGGGGAUGAAGACGAAUUCAUCAUGGGGAAUGUUUUGGCCCAAGAUGUCAAGCCGACUUCUAUGAAUGAAGGUCCUUUGGAAUUUGGGGAAGGGAGGUUGGAAGAGAAACAAGAUGUGGACACUAUAAGAAAUCCUUUACUUAGCGUCGCUCGUUUUUAGGACAUUUGUCGAUCGUUGACCGACGCUAAGUAUUUUUGUGUCGGUUGAAAAAAGACGCUGAAUUUGGCGACGUAAAAUAAAUUUAGCACCGGUUGAAUCGUAUUUAGCGUCGGUUCUUCUUCUUCUUCUUCCUCUUCUUCUUCUUCUUCUUCUUCUUCUUCUUCUUCUUCUUC